UACGUAGGCAGCGAGCGUUGUUCGGAAUUACUGGGCGUAAAGAGUGUGUAGGCGGUGUUCCCAGUCUGUUGUGAAAUCUCCCGGCCUAACUGGGAGGGGUCGCCUCAGACUGGGCGUCUUGAGGACGGCAGAGGUAGGUGGAAUUCCUGGUGUAGUGGUGAAAUGCGUAGAGAUCAGGAGGAACACCGGUGGCGAAGGCGGCCUACUGGGCCGUCACUGACGCUGAGGCGCGAAAGCUCGGGGAGCGAACGGG
rnacentral:rRNA from 1 species